AAGUACGGUCUCACGGAAAUUCCGUCACAAACAUUGCAAAGAAUCGACGUGAUUGCGGAUUAAAUUUUUGUUUUUGCACUUGCUUGAAAAUUUCGCCUUCAUCAAGCACCGAUUAAAUCUUAAACUCAGCCGUCUACGCCGCAAUUGUGCAACGAAAAUACGUUAAAAAGAAAGCGAAUAGGGAAAAGCAAGAAAACGAGGAAAAUGGGCACAACUCCCACUCCGCCAGCGAAUGAAAGGGGAAAUUGUGUGAUGUCAUUUUGACUGUUUCUUUCGAGUUAAUUGAAACAACUUCCUGUGCUGCUUUUUGGAUUUUUUUGCUGCUGCUACCAACUGUUUUUUAAGCGCCACUGUGUGCAUGUGGGAGUGCGAGUGUGCCAGUGUGUGUGUGUGAUUUACAUAUACUGUUAUAUUAAAAGUUGUGCAGAAUUAUAUGCCGUUAAAUGCAUACGGUUAAUUGGCCAUUAAGUGCUAUUUAAUUUUGUAAUUUACUACGGAGAGGAGAAAAACCACACAAAUACCAUUCCAAACACACACACACACACACACACGCGAAAGAGAAAAGGUGAAACGCAAACGCACACCUAAAAGCACGAGUGAGUAGGAAUUCGAUAAAAAAAAAGAGCAAAAACAAAAAGAAACGUCCGGCAUAAACAAAUCGACUUUUAUCGAUUUCCCUCCAAAACAAAAACAGUAUCGAAAAGAAUUCCGCCCAGGACAACAACAACGAGCUAAAUCACCUGCCACGCCCACGGGCAGCUGUACCGUCCACCCCCCGCCACCCCGCCCUCUCCCCCCGUCUAAAAAAGGCAACCAUCCAUCAUGUCCAGUCCCACCAGCACGAAUAAUGGCCCAUCGCAGGGCCAAUCUCGGCAGGAUCUGCAAAUGGAGGUGGAGCGCCUCACCCGCGAACUGGACCAGGUGUCCUCCGCCAGCGCCCAGUCCGCCCAAUACGGAUUGUCCUUGCUGGAGGAGAAGUCCGCCCUGCAGCACAAGUGCGAGGAACUGGAGACACUCUACGACAACACGCGCCACGAACUGGAGAUCACUCAGGAGGCGCUGACCAAGUUCCAAACCUCACAGAAGGUGACCAACAAGACGGGCAUCGAGCAGGAAGACGCCCUGCUAAACGAGUCCGCUGCCAGGGAGACGUCGCUCAACCUGCAGAUCUUCGAUCUGGAGAACGAGCUCAAACAGCUGCGCCACGAGCUGGAGAGGGUUCGCAAUGAGCGCGACCGGAUGCUGCAGGAGAACUCGGAUUUCGGGCGGGACAAGAGCGACAACGAGGCGGACCGCCUGCGCCUCAAGUCCGAGCUGAAGGACCUCAAGUUCCGCGAGACGCGUAUGCUCAGCGAGUACUCGGAACUGGAGGAGGAGAACAUAUCGCUGCAGAAGCAGGUCUCCAACCUGCGCAGCUCGCAGGUGGAAUUUGAGGGUGCCAAGCACGAGAUUCGUCGCCUCACCGAAGAAGUUGAGCUUUUGAAUCAACAGGUUGAUGAGCUGGCGAAUCUCAAGAAGAUUGCCGAGAAGCAAAUGGAGGAAGCGCUGGAGGCCUUGCAGGGUGAACGCGAGGCAAAGUAUGCGCUGAAGAAGGAGCUGGAUGGUCAUUUGAACCGCGAGUCCAUGUACCACAUCAGCAACCUGGCCUACAGCAUACGCAGCAACAUGGAGGACAACGCCAGCAACAAUUCGGACGGGGAGGAGGAGAAUCUGGCUCUCAAGCGGCUGGAGGCUGACCUCAGCACCGAACUAAAAUCCCCCGACGGCACCAAGUGCGAUCUCUUCUCGGAGAUCCACCUGAACGAACUGAAGAAACUGGAAAAGCAGCUGGAGAGCAUGGAGAGCGAGAAGACCCAUUUGACGGCCAAUUUGCGGGAGGCGCAGACGAGUCUGGACAAGUCACAGAACGAGCUGCAGAACUUCAUGUCGCGCCUGGCUCUUCUAGCCGCCCAUGUCGAUGCUUUGGUCCAGCUGAAGAAGCAAAUCGACGUGAAGGAGCAGGGCAGAGAUGGCGACCAGAAGAAGGAUGAGCUGGAGCAGCAGCUGCGGGCCCUGAUCUCGCAGUACGCCAACUGGUUUACGCUCUCUGCCAAGGAGAUCGAUGGCCUCAAGACUGACAUUGCUGAGCUGCAGAAGGGACUCAACUACACCGAUGCCACCACCACGCUGCGUAACGAGGUGACCAAUCUGAAGAACAAGCUCCUCUCCACGGAGCAAAAGUCACUGGACCUGCAGAGCGACGUAGAAACCCUCACACACAUCUCGCAGAACGCUGGCCAAAGUCUGGGCUCAGCGCGCAGUACUUUGGUGGCUUUGAGCGACGAUCUCGCUCAGCUGUAUCACCUAGUGUGCACCGUCAACGGGGACACGCCAUCGCGUGUCUUGCUCGACCACAAGAGCGAUGAUAUGAGCUUCGAAAACGAUUCUCUGACUGCCAUCCAGUCGCAGUUCAAGUCGGACGUCUUUAUUGCCAAGCCGCAGAUUGUUGAGGAUCUGCAAGGCCUGGCGGAUUCAGUGGAGAUCAAGAAGUAUGUGGACACAGUCAGCGAUCAGAUUAAGUAUCUGAAGACAGCUGUUGAGCAUACCAUUGAUCUGAACAAACACAAAGUGCGCUCCGAAGGAGGCGAUGCCCUGGAGAAGGUCAACACCGAGGAAAUGGAGGAGCUGCAGGAGCAGAUAGUCAAGCUCAAGAGUCUUCUGUCCGUGAAGCGCGAACAGAUCGGAACACUGCGCAAUGUGCUCAAGUCAAACAAACAAACCGCCGAGGUGGCCCUCACCAAUCUUAAGUCCAAAUACGAGAACGAGAAGAUCAUUGUCAGCGACACCAUGUCCAAGUUGCGUAAUGAGCUCAGGCUUCUAAAGGAGGAUGCAGCCACCUUCUCAAGCUUGCGUGCCAUGUUUGCCGCUCGCUGCGAGGAGUAUGUGACCCAGGUGGAUGAUCUCAACCGCCAGUUAGAGGCUGCCGAAGAGGAGAAGAAGACUCUCAACCAGUUGCUGCGCCUGGCUGUCCAGCAGAAGCUGGCACUCACCCAGCGCCUCGAGGAGAUGGAAAUGGAUCGGUGGGUGCAUUUGGGUCGUUAAAAGUCAGCCGCAUCACCAACCCAGUUACAAGCAAACACAUAUUGAUCCCUCCAUCGAUUAGGGUUCCACAUUUCCCUGUUUUUUUCUCCCAAAAAUCCCCUUGAGAAUCCAGCAAUUGCGAAAUGCGCCAUGUCCGCCGACCAAUGCCCGCCCAGCGUGGCACCAGCGGCAAAUCCUCAUUCAGCACACGGCCUUCGAGCAGGAAUCCAGCCAGCAGCAACGCCAACCCAUUCUAACAUAAGAUCAGCGUGCAGCGUAAACUUCUGGCUUUGGUUUAUACUUUGCUUAAGUUGUAAGUUCGUUGGAGUUCCUGCGGAAAGAGAGACAGAUAUUUCCACAUUCACCAGAUAUACUGCAAACGUGUUCGUGUUCGAGAACCAAGCUAUAUCCAUGCUCUAUCCAACUACUAUAACUAUGUUUGUUUGUAUUGUAUUUGUAUUUAUUGAAAGUUUAGUUAGAAUGAAAGUUUUGUGUUAGACAAGGUAGCAGUGAAGAACGGUUAUUAACGGUUAGUUACUUAAACGUCCAAUUAAUUUAAUUAAAACAAAAAACAUUAAGGAAGAGAUUAAAUGAUAACGUAACGAAUCGUAUUUUUCUAUAUACAUAUGACGUACUUGUCUUUGAAUACGUCUACAUUUUGUUUAAUCUGAGUUUUGUUAACUUUCGCGUUGAUUAUUUGAUUUUUGUUAACAACGCUGUGCGCAAGCGAAAAAAAUUGACAAACUAAACCGAUAAACAAGUUGAUGUUGAACAAUAGAAUAUUGAUAUUGGCAACUGAACCAUGUAUUAAUGUAUUAAUUGGCCUGCCCGAUAACCGCGAGUAUUUUUCCAAGGCCCAUUUCAAACUAUGUGGGGCCCCUAAAUUUACGUAAAGAACAAAAGUUCCGAUUUUCGGUCGAAAUGUAUAUUACCGAUGGUUUGCAGCCAUUGAACCUAGAGUAGCAACAGGCUACGUCUCAAAGACGAUUCUAAAUGAAGAUGAUUUUUGUAUUUAUUGAGUAGCAUUUGGUCGCUCUCAAAUGAAGAAAUUGUAGGAAAUUAAUUAUAAUUUGCAAUGGAGAAAAAACUAAGUUUUUUGUGGUUUAUUUAGCAUUAAUUGCAGACAUAAAUUAUGAUUUGUGCAUUAUUAUUUAAUACUAUUAAUAAAUCGCAACACGAAAAUAUUAAGCCAGUUAA